GUAGUCUGCCAUACGCAGGAAGACCCGCUGAACUGAAGCAUCUCAUUAAGCGGAGGAAAAGAAACUAACUAGGAUUCCCUUAGUAAAGGCGAUCGAAAAGGGAACAGCCCAACGUCUUAAUCCCGCAAGGGAAAUGUAGUCGGUUCACCUAUUGCACUGGUCUAAGUCAGAUGGAAUGCUGCGCGAUUCAGAGUAAAAGCCUCGUAUGACCAACCGCAAGCUUACGAUGGACCGGGGAGAGUCGGAUACUUUGAGAGUAGUGUCUUAAGGGGGUGGUAUGUCCCAUCCAAGGCUAAAUAACGUGAGGAGACCGAUAGAUUACAAGUAGUGUGAACGAAAGAUGAAAAGAACUCUAAAACAGAGGGUGAAAAGUUCCUGAACUUGCUUAGGGUUAAGGCUAUUUAUAGUACCCGUCUUGAAACACGGAUUAGGGAGUUUAUCUGUAGUGCGAGUCUUUGCACGUUAACUGUAAAGGCGUAGAGAAAAGCAACUGGCGUUUGCAUGGCUACUGAGCAUUACUGAUAGGACCCGAAAAGUGGUGAACUUUGCCUGCACAGGUUGAAGUCAGGGGAAACUCUGAUGGAGGGACGUAC
rfam:Trichomonas vaginalis G3, whole genome shotgun sequence.